rnacentral:rRNA from 1 species
UAGUACCCGGAGGAAGAGAAAGAAAAUUCGAUUCCCUUAGUAGCGGCGAGCGAAACGGGAAGAGCCCAAACCAACAAGCUUGCUUGUUGGGGUUGUAGGACACUCUAUACGGAGUUACAAAGGACGACAUUAGACGAAUCAUCUGGAAAGAUGAAUCAAAGAAGGUAAUAAUCCUGUAGUCGAAAAUGUUGUCUCUCUUGAGUGGAUCCUGAGUACGACGGAGCACGUGAAAUUCCGUCGGAAUCUGGGAGGACCAUCUCCUAAGGCUAAAUACUCUCUAGUGACCGAUAGUGAACCAGUACCGUGAGGGAAAGGUGAAAAGCACCCCGGAAGGGGAGUGAAAUAGAACCUGAAACCGUGUGCUUACAAGUAGUCAGAGCCCGUUAAUGGGUGAUGGCGUGCCUUUUGUAGAAUGAACCGGCGAGUUACGAUUUGAUGCAAGGUUAAGCAGUAAAUGUGGAGCCGUAGCGAAAGCGAGUCUGAAUAGGGCGUUUAGUAUUUGGUCGUAGACCCGAAACCAGGUGAUCUACCCUUGGUCAGGUUGAAGUUCAGGUAACACUGAAUGGAGGACCGAACCGACUUACGUUGAAAAGUGAGCGGAUGAACUGAGGGUAGCGGAGAAAUUCCAAUCGAACCUGGAGAUAGCUGGUUCUCUCCGAAAUAGCUUUAGGGCUAGCCUCAAGUGAUGAUUAUUGGAGGUAGAGCACUGUUUGGACGAGGGGCCCCUCUCGGGUUACCGAAUUCAGACAAACUCCGAAUGCCAAUUAAUUUAACUUGGGAGUCAGAACAUGGGUGAUAAGGUCCGUGUUCGAAAGGGAAACAGCCCAGACCACCAGCUAAGGUCCCAAAAUAUAUGUUAAGUGGAAAAGGAUGUGGCGUUGCCCAGACAACUAGGAUGUUGGCUUAGAAGCAGCCAUCAUUUAAAGAGUGCGUAAUAGCUCACUAGUCGAGUGACACUGCGCCGAAAAUGUACCGGGGCUAAACAUAUUACCGAAGCUGUGGAUUGUCCUUUGGACAAUGGUAGGAGAGCGUUCUAAGGGCGUUGAAGCAUGAUCGUAAGGACAUGUGGAGCGCUUAGAAGUGAGAAUGCCGGUGUGAGUAGCGAAAGACGGGUGAGAAUCCCGUCCACCGAUUGACUAAGGUUUCCAGAGGAAGGCUCGUCCGCUCUGGGUUAGUCGGGUCCUAAGCUGAGGCCGACAGGCGUAGGCGAUGGAUAACAGGUUGAUAUUCCUGUACCACCUAUAAUCGUUUUAAUCGAUGGGGGGACGCAGUAGGAUAGGCGAAGCGUGCGAUUGGAUUGCACGUCUAAGCAGUAAGGCUGAGUAUUAGGCAAAUCCGGUACUCGUUAAGGCUGAGCUGUGAUGGGGAGAAGACAUUGUGUCUUCGAGUCGUUGAUUUCACACUGCCGAGAAAAGCCUCUAGAUAGAAAAUAGGUGCCCGUACCGCAAACCGACACAGGUAGUCAAGAUGAGAAUUCUAAGGUGAGCGAGCGAACUCUCGUUAAGGAACUCGGCAAAAUGACCCCGUAACUUCGGGAGAAGGGGUGCUCUUUAGGGUUAACGCCCAGAAGAGCCGCAGUGAAUAGGCCCAAGCGACUGUUUAUCAAAAACACAGGUCUCUGCUAAACCGUAAGGUGAUGUAUAGGGGCUGACGCCUGCCCGGUGCUGGAAGGUUAAGAGGAGUGGUUAGCUUCUGCGAAGCUACGAAUCGAAGCCCCAGUAAACGGCGGCCGUAACUAUAACGGUCCUAAGGUAGCGAAAUUCCUUGUCGGGUAAGUUCCGACCCGCACGAAAGGCGUAACGAUUUGGGCACUGUCUCAACGAGAGACUCGGUGAAAUCAUAGUACCUGUGAAGAUGCAGGUUACCCGCGACAGGACGGAAAGACCCCGUGGAGCUUUACUGUAGCCUGAUAUUGAAAUUCGGCACAGCUUGUACAGGAUAGGUAGGAGCCUUUGAAACGUGAGCGCUAGCUUACGUGGAGGCGCUGGUGGG